AUUGAACGCUGGCGGCAGGCCUAACACAUGCAAGUCGAGCGAGCGGCGGACGGGUGAGUAAUGUCUGGGAAACUGCCUGAUGGAGGGGGAUAACUACUGGAAACGGUAGCUAAUACCGCAUACCAUCAGAUGUGCCCAGAUGGGAUUAGCAAGUAGGUGGGGUAACGGCUCACCUAGGCGACGAUCACUAGCUGGUCUGAGAGGAUGACCAGCCACACUGGAGCGGAGACACGGUCCAGACUCCGACGGGAGGCAGCAGUGGGGAAUAUUGCACAAUGGGCGCAAGCAUGAUGCAGCCAUGCCGCGUGUGUGAAGAAGGCCUGCGGGUUGUAAAGCACUUUCAGCGGGGAGGCGUUACCCGCAGAAGAAGCACCGGCUAACUCCGUGCCAGCAGCCGCGGUAAUUC
rnacentral:rRNA from 1 species